rfam:Triticum aestivum genome assembly, contig: Triticum_aestivum_CS42_TGACv1_scaffold_030293_1BL
CAAGUACUCCCUCCGUCCUGAAAUACUUGUGAAAGAAAUGGAUGUAUCUAAACGUAUUUUAGUUUUAGAUACAUCCAUUUUUAUACAUUUCUCCGACAAGUAUUUCCGGAUGGAGGGAGUACAUG